rnacentral:rRNA from 1 species
GACGAACCGAGCAAACGUUAUUCGGAAUCACUGGGCUUAAAGGGCGCGUAGGCGGGUUGCAAAGUCGAUGGUGAAAUCCUCCAGCUCAACUGGAGAACUGCCGUGGAUACUGGCGACCUAGAGGAAGGUAGGGGCAUCUGGAACUGGUGGUGGAGCGGUGAAAUGCGUUGAUAUCAUCAGGAACUCCGGUGGCGAAGGCGAGAUGCUGGCCCUUUACUGACGCUGAGGCGCGAAAGCCAGGGGAGCAAACGGG